rnacentral:rRNA from 1 species
UACGUAGGGUGCGAGCGUUGUCCGGAAUUAUUGGGCGUAAAGAGCUCGUAGGCGGUUUGUCGCGUCUGCUGUGAAAACCCGAGGCUCAACUUCGGGCUUGCAGUCGAUACGGGCAGGCUAGAGUUCGGUAGGGGAGACUGGAAUUCCUGGUGUAGCGGUGAAAUGCGCAGAUAUCAGGAGGAACACCGAUGGCGAAGGCAGGUCUCUGGGCCGAUACUGACGCUGAGGAGCGAAAGCGUGGGGAGCGAACAGG